rnacentral:rRNA from 1 species
CGCCUUAACACAUGCAAGUCGAACGAAGUAGCAAUACUUAGUGGCAGACGGGUGAGUAACAUGUGGGUAUCUACCCUUUGGCCUGGAAUAACACGAGGAAACUUGUGCUAAUACCGGAUAAGUCUUUACGGAGAAAGCUUUAUGCACCAUUGGAUGAGCCCGCACUUGAUUAGUUUGUUGGUAGGGUAAUGGCCUACCAAGACUAUGAUCAAUAGCUGAUUUGAGAGGAUGAUCAGCCACAUUGGGACUGAGACACGGCCCAAACUCCUACGGGAGGCAGCAGUGGGGAAUCUUGCACAAUGGAGGAAACUCUGAUGCAGCGAUGCCGCGUGAGUGAAGAAGGCCUUUGGGUUGUAAAGCUCUUUCGUCGGGGAAGAAAAUGACUGUACCCGAAUAAGAAGGUCCGGCUAACUUCGUGCCAGCAGCCGCGGUAAUACGAAGGGACCUAGCGUAGUUCGGAAUUACUGGGCUUAAAGAGUUCGUAGGUGGUUGAAAAAGUUGGUGGUGAAAUCCCAGAGCUUAACUCUGGAACUGCCAUCAAAACUUUUCAGCUAGAGUAUGAUAGAGGAAAGCAGAAUUUCUAGUGUAGAGGUGAAAUUCGUAGAUAUUAGAAAGAAUACCAAUUGCGAAGGCAGCUUUCUGGAUCAUUACUGACACUGAGGAACGAAAGCAUGGGUAGCGAAGAGGAUUAGAUACCCUCGUAGUCCAUGCCGUAAACGAUGUGUGUUAGACGUUGGAAAUUUAUUUUACAGUGUAGCAGGGAAACCGAUAAACACACCGCUGGG